rnacentral:misc_RNA from 1 species
CUUGAGCGAGUCUCACUGGUGAAUUUAUCGAUACACCAUCGACUGCCGUAGUUCCAUUUAUGGGGUGAAGAGUGACCACGCCGUUAUUAUUUUCAAUCGUGCAAUGAAUGGACUCGACGCCGGUACCAACAACAGAAAUAUCCGCAUCUCGACUCGAUCCAAGGGUUAAUUUACCUAAACAAAAAAAUUUGUUUUAUAACGAAUCUACGAACAAUUGGCAUUCUACGCGGAAGGAUUCGAAAGAUACUCGGGCACAAAUAUCGAACGAGUUGAG